rnacentral:lncRNA from 1 species
UAAUUGCCUUGAAUUGGUUUUUAUUAAUUCUCAAGGCAACCAUGACAUCUGUCAACGGAUAUCCAAACCCAUAAAUAGUUGGAACUUGCGAUUGGUAUUUGGCCUUGUGUCUAUUGGUAAGUUUGGAUUUUGUUGCUAAUAUUGUGUUCUUUUUGCAGCAAUGCAGAACCAGUAUCGGGGGUGGACGAUCAUGUGAAAACAAUCAGAGGAGCAGGUUGAGCAGCAUCUUAAAUCCUCUAGAAGCGAUGCUAAAAGAAUGUGUUUCCAGCAUUAUCAUCCCAUUGCAGGGAUCAGUGAUUGUAACAUAUUUCCACAUAAUCUUAUGUACAUAUGAAGACUGUGCCUUUGAGACAUUGCAUAUACACGACAGUAAGCUUUUUGCUAAGAAUUUACUGAUCUUUCUCGGCCUCUGUUCUCCUUGGCACAUAUAUGCGACUUUUCCUUCUCUGACCUCAUACUCUGGCAUUCAUAUACGUGCUUUUGUUGACAGACCAAUUUCCGAUAGAUAAAUAUCUUACUAGUGUAUAAAAUGUGGAGUUGGUUACUCGUGCAAUCUUCAUUCAAGGUUCCCUCUUUUUUGGGUACAGCAUUCAAGGGUUCUUAAUACCAGGCAGCCUGCUAUAAGAUGGACAGACUUGAGAACGGAUAAAACGUAGCAGCAGGUGCAAGAGGAUGGCGUCUUUGAGGAUAGUGUUAUAUAAGAUGAUGACAUAAUUCUUCUAGGGCUCACCACCUGGUCUCUGAUGCCUUUUGACACUGCAUUUCUUUCGCAUUUCUCUGGAGCAUUUCAGCAACUAUUACAGGGAUCAGUAGUUGAAUAGAUUGGUACGGUAGGCCUCACGUUGAUCAACAGUGAAUCACCUAACACUUUUUCUUGCCUCCAAUGUCCAUCCAGGUUAAAGACUCGA